UGAGCAGAGGGAGUUGAGGAGGAGGGUGACUGGGAGGAGCUGCCUCCUCCUCAGCUGGUUGCUGCAGGGAUUUCGUCCCCUAAGCCAGCCAGGGCUAGCGAAGGCCGGCUUCUCCUGGGGACGGAGCCCUUUGGGAGAAUCCCCUCGUUCCCAUCUAAGGAGGAAAACUGGAACCAAACUGCCAGGUUUGACUUUAGAAAAAUUUAUGAACGAUCUUUCUAAUUUAUCAUCAUCAUCAUCAUCAUCAUCAUCAUCAUCAUCAUCAUUCAGGAAAGUAAGCUGUGAUUAAAAUUGCACUAAACAGAAAGGCCUUCCUCUUCGGCUUGCAGGCAGGUCAUUCUAGGUUUCUGACUCGAAUUAAUUUCUGAUUCUUUGGAUUUCGGCUAGCUUUAGAGGCCAAGAUACUUUGAUGAAAAUAUCUCUAUUCCCGCUUGAAGCCGGUGGCAGGAAGGGACUCCCAAAUCAAUUCUGCUAACUGGAAAUGCUGUCCUUGUAGCUUAGCAAGCAUUGGCGUGGCCGGGUGGUCUUCCAAAAUCUUCAAAAAUCACUAAGCAAUUUGCCCUGUAAGAUGAUGCCUUGCUUUCGGCAGUUCAAUACACUGGUGAAUUGGAAGAGGUGGGUCUUUUCUGGGGGGAGGGGAUAUGAUGGGGUGCGGUGAGUGCAGACUAAAGCGGAGUCCCAGCUGAGCCUGUUCCAGCGAUGGCUCCAGACUCUGGCCAGGUGUGUAAUUGACCCAAUUCUGACAAGCUGUGGGAGGCUGAUGACUUUGAGGAGCUCUUCUGGAAGUUUGGUGUGGGGAUUUGAAUCCAUGUGGCAGCAAGACAGCACCAACUCUGGUUUCGCUCAACUUCGUGGGAGAGAAGAACCACAAGCUUCUGGAGUGAUUCAGCAUCAUGAUCAGUGGCUGCUUUAAUCCACAGGUCUGUUUGAAUCCAGGUGAGCUCAGAGCUGCCCCCUGAAGUUGAGGGGUGAGGUAGCUGGAAAAGGGGUGAGGUAGCUUCCAGCUUCCUCACCCUCUCUCUUCUCUCUCUCUCAACUGUGGAAAUAGAAUGCUGAAGUUUUAAAGGGAGUGGUAAUCUGGGAAAACAACCUGCCUACAGAUUUAUUAUAUUGACUUUUUAGAGAUUAGAAUGCAUCUAAAGACAAAAGAUUACACACUAUAUUCUUCACAGUCACUAGCAAAUACCCCAUGGCUCUCCAUAUCUGGUUAACCACUUGUAUUGCAAAACAAACUGAAGAAACAAACAUAUUUUAAGCUGUUGAAAUCCCCAGUCUGUGUAUUCCUGGCCUUUGAGGCAACACUGAUGUCAAAUAGCCAAGAGAUUUCCAGAUUAACCAGCCUGAAACUGUCACCUGCUUUCCAAAUUCCUCUCUUCAAGACCAGUGUGAGGUCCUGUCUUCCCGGAGAAGGUUUAUUCUGGCAAAGCCAAUUGUUAUGUAUUCUUUUUAUCUUCAGUCUUUGAAUAUCUAAUGUACUUGUGAAAACUGUCUCAUGAGACAGAGUUUAUUUAUUCCUUAAUUUUGCAUUUGUCUCUCUCCAGUCAAUUAUAAACUCUUUAAAAUGAGGGGUGAUGGAAAUGUUGAAUCACUAUAUUGUACACCUGAAACUAAUAUUAUAGUGUAUGUUAACUAA